rnacentral:lncRNA from 1 species
UUGGUUUUUUAUUAUUAGGUCUUUCCACCUUUCCGUGGAAAGACCUAUUGAAUUUGUUCUGAUUAUUAUUUUUUUUUUUUUCUUCCGCCUAAAUUUUUUUCUUGCGUAGUAUUGAUGUUUCAAAAGAUGUCGCUUAGAUAUUUGGAAUAUGAUGUCGUAUAGUUUAUACGCUUUAAAAAUUUACAACUGCGUAACAAAAUACUUUACGUUGUAAGAGUUAUCUCCCCAAACACUGUUUUUCUUGUGGCCACUACUCCUUCGCAACCGUAAAAGAUUACGACAAAUUUAUUUUACCAAAUUGCUCGUUACUUCUUCAGGAUUAGGAUAUUCAUUUGGACCGAAGCUAUCCGGAGACUCCAUAUGAGAGUUAUUUCCCCUUAUGCAUUUGAUAUAAGUGAUAUGCGUUUCUAACUGGUAAACCAUCAGUGAUAUAGGCCUAGGGUCUUUUGAUUUAAGUUCCUUGGUCCAAAAAAAUGAAAAUAAGGUCAAGGUCAAAGGUCAAGGUCAUAUUCUAAAUUUUGAUUUUGGCUUAUUUUCUCUUAUUUUCAACAACCGUGAAAGAUAUUGACAAAUUAUUUUUACUAAAUUGUGAGUUGCGACAUGUUGUAACUUAUAAAUUUUGGUUGGAAGGGUGCGUAAACAAUAAAUGAGAGUUUUCGCCCAUCUUAUAUUUAAAAUCAUGCCUAAAGUGAUAUAACUCAUUAACCAUACAUAUUACAGACCUAGGGUCUUUUUAUUUGAGGUCCUUGGUUGGUGACCUUGAAAUUGAGGUCAAGGUCAAAGGUUAAUAGGACGUUCUAGAUUUUGACCUUUGCUUUAAAUUCAUAUUUAUACAUUAUAAAGUCAUAGGAACUGACAUUUUAGAUUGAUUUUUAAUAUUUUGAUAAUAAAAUAGAUCUUUACUUGUGGAAAGACCUUCAAUUGUUCUUUGAACAAUUGGUUUUUAAUUAUUAUUUUUUUUUUUUCUUCCGCCUAAAUUUUUUUCUUGCGUAGUAUUGAUGUUUCAAAAGAUGUCGCUUAGAUAUUUGGAAUAUGAUAUCGUAUAGUUUAUACGCUUUAAAAAUUUACAACUGCGUAACAAAAUACUUUACGUUGUAAGAGUUAUCUCCCCAAACACUGUUUUUCUUGUGGCCACUACUCCUUCGCAACCGUAAAAGAUUACGACAAAUUUAUUUUACCAAAUUGCUCGUUACAUCUUCAGGAUUAGGAUAUUUCAUUUGGACCGAAGCUAUCCGGAGACUCCAUAUGAGAGUUAUUUCCCCUUAUGCAUUUGAUAUAAGUGAUAUGCGUUUCUAACUGGUAAACCAUCAGUGAUAUAGGCCUAGGGUCUUUAGAUUUAAGUUCCUUGGUCCAAAAAAAUGAAAAUAAGGUCAAGGUCAAAGGUCAAGGUCAUAUUCUAAAUUUUGAUUUUGGCUUAUUUUCUCUUAUUUUCAACAACCGUGAAAGAUAUUGACAAAUUAUUUUUACUAAAUUGUGAGUUGCGACAUGUUGUAACUUAUAAAUUUUGGUUGGAAGGGUGCGUAAACAAUAAAUGAGAGUUUUCGCCCAUCUUAUAUUUAAAAUCAUGCCUAAAGUGAUAUAACUCAU